CUGAAAAUGAACACUUCUCCAGCUUUAGUGACUGUGCUGUUGCUGUUCAUGCUUGAGAGGACACAUGGAAAUUCAGUGACCCAGAUGCAAGGUCAAGUGACCCUUUCAGAAGAGGAGUUUUUAUUUAUAAACUGUACCUAUUCAGCCUCAGGGUACCCGACUCUUUUCUGGUAUGUCCAAUAUCCUGGAGAAGGUCCACAGCUCCUUUUGAAAGUCACAACAGCCAACAACAAGGGAAGCAGCAGAGGUUUUGAAGCUACGUAUGAUAAAGGGACUACGUCCUUCCACUUGCAGAAAGCCUCGGUGCAGGAGUCAGACUCGGCUGUGUACUACUGUGCUCUGGGUCUUGUGGCUUCUCACAACUCAAUGCCUGCGGCCGCAGCAUGGGGUGCACACAGUCAAACUUCUGGAGUCCGCCUCUAUAAGAGGCCCUAG